CCUACGGGUGGCAGCAGUCGAGAAUCAUUCACAAUGGCGGCAACCCUGAUGGUGCGACGCCGCGUGGGGGAAUGAAGGUCUUCGGAUUGUAAACCCCUGUCAUGUGGGAGCAAAUUAAAACGAUAGUACCACAAGAGGAAGAGACGGCUAACUCUGUGCCAGCAGCCGCGGUAAUACAGAGGUCUCAAGCGUUGUCCGGAAUCACUGGGCGUAAGGCGUGCGUAGUCUGUUUCGUAAGUCGUGUGUGAAAGGCGCGGGCUCAACCGGCGAACGGCACAUGAUACUGCGAGACUAGAGUAAUGGAGGGGGAAGCGGAAUGCGCGGUGUAGCAGUGAAAUGCGUAGAUAUC
rnacentral:rRNA from 1 species